rnacentral:rRNA from 1 species
ACUACCCGCUGAACUUAAGCAUAUCAAUAAGCGGAGGAAAAGAAACUAACAAGGAUUCCCCUAGUAGCGGCGAGCGAAGCGGGAAGAGCUCAAAUUUAUAAUCUGGCACCUUCGGUGUCCGAGUUGUAAUCUCUAGAAGUGUUUUCCGCGUUGGACCGCACACAAGUCUGUUGGAAUACAGCGGCAUAGUGGUGAAACCCCCGUAUAUGGUGCGGACGCCCAGCGCUUUGUGAUACACUUUCAAUGAGUCGAGUUGUUUGGGAAUGCAGCUCAAAUUGGGUGGUAAAUUCCAUCUAAAGCUAAAUAUUGGCGAGAGACCGAUAGCGAACAAGUACCGUGAGGGAAAGAUGAAAAGCACUUUGGAAAGAGAGUUAACAGUACGUGAAAUUGUUGGAAGGGAAACGCUUGAAGUCAGACUUGCUUGCCGGAGCUUGCUUCGGUUUGCAGGCCAGCAUCAGUUUUCCGGGGUGGAUAAUGACGGUUUGAAGGUAGCAGUCUCGGCUGUGUUAUAGCUUUCCGUUGGAUACAUCCUGGGGGACUGAGGAACGCAGCGUGCUUUUUGCGAAAGACUCGUCUCUCACG